GAUUGAGCCUCAUGGCUCUGCUACUGGGAAGCGUGGGCGUAAGACUCCUCGAGAGUCAGAUACUCUCGAGGAGCGAGAAAGAAAGAGGCUGCGAGAUAUCUUUGCAGAACCAUCUGACGAGGAUUCUUUUGAGGGGUUUACAGAGAGAAUGGAGGAAGAGGUGGUGAGCUCGGAAGAGGAUGAGAUGGAUUGGACUCGGGUAAGGGAGGAAUUGGGUGCCACUGGCAAUGAUGGGAUGGAAGAUGAUUGGGGACCUUCAGGACUAGACCCAUGGACAAGCUGGAGGGAUGGGACGGGAUCCACAGCUGGGGAUGCUGUGGGGCGUAGUCAGAGGUGUUCCAGCUCUGAUGAGGAAAGUGAUGAGGAAACGCCCGGGUUAAGGAGGGCAGCUGAUAGUGAUGAGGACUUGUAACUGGCAUAAAAUGGGGUUUGGGAGCAAUUGCAAAUUGCGUUGGGCAAGGUAAUCUGGACGAACGCUUGGGAUCUGUGUGGGACGUUUUCCUGAAGACGGGUGUGUUUCGUGUGCUGACUACCUUUGACCUUCCGUCGUCUUCUUGACGGACGCCAUCUGCUACUCUGGAUUUACGGACUGAACUGACUACGGGCUC